AUUGUUCAUUUUGAAUUGAUAAAAGGUGGUUUUUUUCUAAUUAUUUAUAUAUAUAUAUAUAUAUAAAUCCUUCUUACAGUUUCUGCCUAUCAAAUUAACCAUUCACAAGGCUACAAGGCAUUGCUCAGCCUUGGGGCUAUAACAGAAGACAUUUAUCCAAGGUGCUAUGCAAUGAGACUGACUUUGAACAUAUGUGAUUAUAAAGUGAAACUGUUAACCUCACAGCCAUGCCUGUACCUAUAUAAUAUACAUAUGUAUGCGUACACACAAAAGUAAAAAAUACACCUCAGUUUACAUGCAGCACUUGUUUAUCUGUAACUACAUCUUGUUUCUUGGAAUAUUCAGCUAAAACAUAGAAAAAUAACGGUUUUCUGUCUCUCACUACACACUAUUACUCCCUCAAUUACAGCAUGCCAUCCAAGCCUUGGCCCCACUCUUAGUUUCUCUCAUCUUAUUUGUUUUACAUUUAGUUUUUCUAAUAAUAUUUCAAGUAUCAUGGGGAGGGGAAUAUGAAGGAGCAAUGUGCCUGGGGAGAGAAAAUGAUAUUUUUAUUAUGAAAUUUAUUUAAGAUAUCACCAAAUUUAUAGAUAUCGAAGUACAUCAUGAAAUGCAUAAAAGAUGUAUGAUAUUUUUAGGCCCAGACUAAUUCAUAUCAAGGACAAACCAAGCACAAAUUAAUCUCACCCAGUGUGACUUCAUUUCAACCAAGGACAUGUUGAUAUAUUUUAAGGUGGAUAUAUUCAUGAAACGUCAAUUGAAUAUAAUAUGGGAUUAUAAGAGUAAUUUCCAUUCCAGUGAUAUAUUAAUUUCUAAAACGGUUUUUUUCUUUUUCUUCAAAACCUUCUCAAUGUUUUUGUGUCUAUGUUUCUAAAGUCAUUCUGAAGUUGUUUGUCCCAACAGUUGACAGAAUUUAAAAAUAAUUUGUUUUAUUUACAUAUAAACUAUAUAUUUCUACAUUACAAAUAAUUGUUUUAAACAAGCGUCAGAAUAUAAGAUAACAAUAUAAGACUAAUUGAUUACAUAUGUUAUAAACUAAACAAUGAAAAUAUGGGAUUAUAAUGUCAAUUCAGUUUUACUGCAUAUUUAUAACAAAGUGUUAACAAUGAAAUGUGAGCUUGAUUCCCAUCUGGGACUCACUUAUAACCAUAAUAUUUGUAAUGAUAUUCUAGAAAACAUGGAACAAAUUGGUGAUAAUAUUCUGUUGACUUCUUUUUUUUUUUUUACUUCCUCCUCAAUUUAUUUUUGAGUAAAAAUGUUGUUGUGACUAGUCUCCAAAGAAACACCUAAUUUUAGAUGUAAAAUGUCAAAUGUUGGGAUUACAUUUUCUCAAUUUUUUUUUUACUCUUAAAAAACUUAAAUGCCCAGGAAAAUCAAUAUUUUAUCCUAUAUCUUGUUCCAUUGAUCAUCAAGUAAUCCAAAUGCCAGCCUUAUUUUUUAAAUUAUUACCUUUAUGAGAUAGCUAGUCUUACAUAAUUUAAAAAAAACUGUAUUUAAUAGAUAUUUCUUUAUUAGAAAAAACUGGCUUUAGUAGUUAAAACAUAGGAAUAAAAAUGGUUUUGAGGAAUUCUUUUUGUCAUAAUAGUUUAAUCAAGUUAAUGUUUUUGUUUUAAUGUGACCAUGUCAAGUGUAAAAAAGGUGCUUUAACAAUUAUUAUUUUGAAUGAAAUAAUUGUGCACCCUGUAAAAUAUUUGUGUGUUUGUAUAUAUACAUAUAUGUCUAUGUGAAAACCAUAAAUAAAAUCUAUGGGAUGUUUAAAUAUGUGAUUCAUAUAUCUAGUCUGCAAUAAUACUUUUUUAUAAUGUAUUUCUUAAAAUUUCUAAACUAAAAAAGGAAAGCUGUCUUCUAACUUCAUGUACAGAUUGUCCGAUAAGGAUAUCAGAUUACAAAAAAUCUGGACAAUUUACGAUAGCCUACUUUUAAAAUAUGUUUAAGAUAAAAUGAACUUUUAUUUUAAAUUUGAUACUAUAGUAAUCAAAGAUCAUUCACUCAGAUUUUUAUAUUAAAAAUAUUUCAAAAAGAAAUGAAUAAUUCCUGUUAAGUUUUUCUUGUAUAUUUUGUUUAAUAAGAGAUUUCAUUUAUAAAUUUUUAAACUAAUGGCUUUUUUCCCCCCUUGAAUUUAAUAUCUUAUCAUUUCUCAUGUUUUAAUGUUUAAUUUUAUUUUUUCAUAUUCACGAAAUAUUUUACCAUUUCAUUUUUCUCCCUACAAAAAAAUACUAUAGAUACUUUCUUUUAGACGUUUUGCAACUGAUUCUAAGAUUAGUCCAGUAACCCCAGUUCCAGAUAAUAGAUUCCUUAGAAUUUUAUCCUUUGUCACUGUUUCGCUCCAACUUGAAAAAUAAACUUUCUAUUCUUGAUGGAAUUCAAUAUCAUCUACAUUUCUACGUCAAUUUCUACAUCACAUUUAUUUUUCUAUUGAGGCUCAAAUAUGAUGAUAGCAGACGAUCUAUUUAUAUACUUUUAAUAAUAACAAUAACAACAAUAAUAAUAAUACAAUCAUUGUAAACUGCUGUAAAACUUUGGUUUAUUUUUCUAAUCCUAUACAUUUCAAAAAUAGUACACUGAAACUGUGGAAUAAUCUAGUUCCCUACUUUCUUUUUUCAUUUUGCUUUCCUUCUGUAUCCUGUGUAUAUUUAUACCUGAUUUAAAUAUGCAAAUGUAUUCUGUGACCUCAAUUAGUUUAAUUAAUGAUUCCAAAAUCUAUCCCUCCACCCAUCCCAUAUCUCAUUGACAUAUUUCCUUCAGUCAUUCAGCAGUUUUUUUCUUCUUUUUUUUUUUUGUUUCAAUGGUUUUAAUGAAACCCUGGAAUAUUUCUUGUGAUAAUUUAUUUCAGUCGAUAUUUAACAAAGUAUUGGUGCUAGUUUAUUUUUUAAAACAUUGAAGCAUUGUCUGUAAAAAUGUCUUCUGCCAAAGAAUCUUUGGAGUUCUUGGUUUUACUAUUUCAUUGUGGAAUAAAACGAUUUUCCUUUGAAUUGUUGUUUUCAUAAAAUGUCUACUAAUUAUAACAGAACUCUGCAAGUUAGGUUGUUGUUGUGGGUUUUGUUCGUAGUUGUUUAGUCAUUGCAAAGGCAAGACAGAGAAUGUUUGGAAUAUCUUUGGAAAGAAACCCUAUGACAUUUAAAAAAAAAAAAUAUCAAAGACUCUGCCACUUUUGAAGCUGAUGCUCAUAUUUUGAUAUUCUGAGUAAAAUGCUGCAAAUUAUGUCAAAGAAGGCUCAUUGCUCAUCGGCAACUUUUUAAGUUAUAGCGGUUCUUGUUUGCUCUGUAUACAUCAACAAAUUGUCAAGUCAUUAAGAAACUUUUACAGUUUUGCAAUAUUGAUUUCUCUGAAAGAAAGCAUUGUUGGAAAAUAAUUACUAAUUCCACCUAAAUGUUCAUUAAUAAAGAAAUAUAAAUUUGAAAAUCUAUAUUUUCAAAGGAUUGAAAAUGAAUCAAUUACUUCAUGAAUACUUUUAGUUCUAUUUUAUAUAUUUUCACACUGAGCUAAUUUCCUUCUGCUUUUUGUACUUGGGGAAAAUUUAAUCCUUGAUUAUCUGGAUUGUUGUAUUAUUAUGACAUUAAAUGAAAGUGUAUUUGCUUUCAUGCCAACAUAAGUCUUUCAAUAUUUAUCAUUUUUCCAACAUUGAUAAAUCAGUUGCAAAAUACUUUCUUCUAAAAUUAAUUAGAAAAAUGUGAAAUUUAUUGUUUUAAUUUUUUUUUAUUUUGCAAACAGUAAAAAUUGCUUAAUAAAUUGGAAA
rnacentral:lncRNA from 1 species